rnacentral:lncRNA from 1 species
CUCUGUCUGGGUGCUGGGGUGUGCUGGAUGCUGGGAGAGGUGUUGCAGAAGAGGGGGCAGGCUCUUUUCUUAAUACCGGGGUCAAAUGAAAGUUAGACCCUUCUUUACGUCCAAGUAAUUAUCCCUGUUGUCUCUACAGUAAGGAGCACUGGCAGGAACCGUGCCCCUUAGCAGAGAGGGGGCAGCUGCAGUAAAUGCCAGCCAGGGCCAGUUUCGGCAUUUGACCUGGCUUUCACCACAACGACUGAGCCUCGGCGAUGCUCUGAAGGUGUUGUAUUUCAAACAAUCAAGUGCUGAGUUGGGUGGGAUUUGCUGCUUACAGAUAAGGUAGGACGGAAAGCUGUGGGGGAAGGGAAGGAAGGUGUGUGUGUUGCUGUGUGCUGGUUUGGGCAGCUCUGUAGGCUGUGCUUCCCAUCCUACUGCAGAGCUUUGCACAGAGUGAGUUUGGCCUUCGCUCUAUACAGCUGUAAAACCGAGCACCUUCUGACUGUGGCUCUUUUCAAGUAAAAAGUCAUCAUAAGAUGACUUUUUUAACCCCGGCAAGUUCUUUCAAUCAAACAUACAACACAGGUCUCUUUUAAAAGGCUCAAGUGGGAGGAAGUCUCUAAGAUGUCUGCUCCAAACAAAACCACAGCUAACUGCAGUCCCUCAAGGCCUCAUCCAUGUGGAUGAAUUCAAUGAUGUUGUAGUCUUGACAAAGCACCUGGUUUCUUCCAGCUCCUGGACAGAUUCAGGACAUGCAGAUGUGGGGGUACAAGGACAGCAAUGCAGCAGCAAGGCAAGUUACAACAAGGACUCAGAGAUAAUGCCUGGUCUGGUGGACAUCUGCAGGUGAGUGAUCCAGGCUGCAGGCCUCUCCUGGAGUGGAGAAUAUGGUUUCUCAGUGUAGGGCCUGGG